rnacentral:lncRNA from 1 species
AAGUAAUGUGAGAGUACUCUGAUAGCACUCACUAAAAGCAAGAUAAACAGAGCAAAGAUCUCUGCAGCCAGAGCACCAGGAGAGAAUUCUACACAGGUAACCAUUUAACUGCUGCUUAAUUAUCUCCUGUGUGUUAACACUUGCUUUUCAAUCAGACUGUAUUCUUUAUAAAGUCAGAAUCACAUUUGCCUAUACUACAGGGUUAGGAAUUUUUGUAAGUCUGUUAGACACUAACAAAUUGCACUAUUUUCCAAAAUCUUCAUUCAUCAUAAGACCAAUGAAAGGCUUAUAGUUAGUAAACUGAAAACUAAAAGAAAGUAUCAGUAUCUUACAUGGUCUCACAUGGGUACCCCAAAGGGUUUAGGAAGACCAAGGGCUCAGUGAAUGCUAAGGUUCUCACUGCACUGUGAAGGGACUUACUCCUUCCUUCUGAUGCCUAGGUUUUAGCUCACUUUCUCAAACACCUCUUUCCUAAUGUGCCAUUCAUUUCUGUUUUCAGGCUGGUAUGUGCAUAGGAAUAGACAGAACAGAAAGUCAAGACGCCAAAAAUUCUUUGACCACGUUGUUCUAAUGAAAGUUAUCAUGACAAAGCACUUUUAGUCCCCAAAUACUUAAGUUUAAAAAAGUACUUAGGGCUUCUGACCACUACCUUGAGCCUUCUCAUGCGAUUAACAUUAGAGAUUAUAAUUGAGGAUUAUGAAAAAG